UGGGGAAUCUUGCACAAUGGGGGCAACCCUGAUGCAGCGACGCCGCGUGAGCGAUGAAGGUUUUCGAAUCGUAAAGCUCUGUCCUAUGGGAAGAUAAUGACGGUACCAUAGGAGGAAGCCCCGGCUAACUACGUGCCAGCAGCCGCGGUAAUACGUAGGGGGCGAGCGUUGUCCGGAAUUACUGGGCGUAAAGGGUUCGCAGGCGGCAUGGCAAGUCCGAUGUAAAAGGCGAAGGCUCAACCUUCGUAAGCAUCGGAAACUGUCAAGCUUGAGUGAAGGAGAGGCAAGUGGAAUUCCUAGUGUAGCGGUGGAAUGCGUAGAUAUUAGGAGGAAGACCGGUGGCGAAGGCGACUUGCUGGACUUCAACUGACGCUGAGGAACGAAAGCGUGGGUAGCAAACAGG
rnacentral:rRNA from 1 species